rnacentral:rRNA from 1 species
GACGAACGCUGGCGGCGUGCCUAAUACAUGCAAGUCGAACGAAGCUUUUUUAACUGGUGCUUGCACCGACUUAAACAACUGAGUGGCGAACGGGUGAGUAACACGUGGGUAACCUGCCCCAAAGCGGGGGAUAACAUUUGGAAACAGAUGCUAAUACCGCAUAACCACAGAAACCACAUGGUUUCUGUGUCAAAGAUGGUUUCGGCUAUCACUUUGGGAUGGACCCGCGGCGUAUUAGCUAGUUGGUAAGGUAAUGGCUUACCAGGGCAAUGAUACGUAGCCGAACUGAGAGGUUGAUCGGCCACAUUGGGACUGAGACACGGCCCAAACUCCUACGGGAAGCAGCAGUAGGGAAUCUUCCACAAUGGACGAAAGUCUGAUGGAGCAACGCCGCGUGAGUGAAGAAGGUUUUCGGAUCGUAAAACUCUGUUGUCAGAGAAGAACGUGUGCGAGAGUAACUGUUCGUGCAGUGACGGUAUCUGGCCAGAAAGCCACGGCUAACUACGUGCCAGCAGCCGCAGUAA